rnacentral:rRNA from 1 species
UACGAAGGGGGCUAGCGUUGCUCGGAAUCACUGGGCGUAAAGCGCACGUAGGCGGCUUUCUAAGUCAGGGGUGAAAUCCUGGAGCUCAACUCCAGAACUGCCUUUGAUACUGGAGAGCUUGAGUCCGGAAGAGGUGAGUGGAACUCCGAGUGUAGAGGUGAAAUUCGUAGAUAUUCGGAAGAACACCAGUGGCGAAGGCGGCUCACUGGUCCGGUACUGACGCUGAUGUGCGAAAGCGUGGGAGCAACAGG